rnacentral:rRNA from 1 species
CCUACGGGGGGCAGCAGUGAGGAAUAUUGGUCAAUGGACGCAAGUCUGAACCAGCCAAGCCGCGUGCAGGAUGACGGCCCUAUGAGUUGUAAACUGCUUUUGUACGGGGGUAAACUCAGUCACGUGUGUCUUAUUGAAGGUAUCGUACGAAUAAGGACAGGCUAACUCCGUGCCAGCAGCCGCGGUAAUACGGAGGGUUCGGGCGUUGUCCGGAUUUAUUGGGUUUAAAGGGGGCGUAGGCGGGCGGUUAAGUUAGAGGUGAAAUGCCGCGGCGCAACGUUGGCACUGCCUCGGAUACUGGGAGGCUAGAGUGUGGGUGAGGUAGGCGGAAUUCGUGGUGUAGCGGUGAAAUGCUUAGAGAUCACGCAGAACACCGAUUGCGAAGGCAGCUUACC